AUGGUGCGAAUAGGGGAGAGGAGGAUGAAAGACUAUUUUGCUGGAGGUGUCGAAUUCUUUUUGAAAAUUUGUACAGAAUGCAAUAAGUGGUGGUGGCGGUUCACCUGUUAUUGCUGCUCGGUGACUUGCAACAAAGGAGCUAUUGCAGUUAGGCAGCCUUAUAUUAGGGUUGUUGGAAUAAAAGAUGCAAAUGAAGCCAAGUCUCGAGGUCCCACUAUGUUUAUGACGAAAGAAGUUAGUGUUGACCAACUAUAA